CGGAGUCACACAGCUCCGUCCCUCCAUUUGAGCGCGGCAACCAACAGCGCAUGAAUGAGAUUGAGCCAGGAUGCCACGCAAGUUCAUUCCCAAGAACCUCCGGGAGACAGACCGGACCAACCUCGAACUGGCAUUCAACUACAGGAUUGAGCACAACACCAGCAUACGGAGGGCAGCUCGGGAGUUUGGUGUCAAGGUUAUGACUCUGCAGGAUGCCUUCACAAGGAGCAAAGCCAAAUCUGAUGGGCACACCUUUGUAAUUCCCCAAGAAAAUUUUAACAAGAUUUUCAACAAGAAUCAGGAGGAAAUGCUGUGCAAAUAUGCCAUACAUGUGGCAAGACUGUUCUAUGGGAUGACUCGCAAGGAAUUUCGCCGACUUGCAUAUGAGUAUGCUGUGGCUUGCAAGUGCUCCAAUAUCCCUGCAAACUGGCAUGCCACACAACUGGCAAACGAAAAUUGGCUCCAGCGUUUCAUCAGGUUUCCCUACUCUCUUCUUUCAUAUAAUAUCAAGUAGGCAUUUUUGUUUGUUUUAAGCCUUGUAAGCUUUUUAAGGCAAAGAAGAUAAUGUAACCAUAUUUUUUCUCAACUUUUUGUGUAAUAAAGGAAGAUUAAAAUUAA